rnacentral:rRNA from 1 species
GAUUAACGCUGGCGGCGUGCAUAACACAUGCAAGUCGAACGAUGAAACUUAACUGAUUUCUUCGGAAUGAUUUUAAGUGGAUUAGUGGCGGACGGGUGAGUAACGCGUGAGUAACCUGCCUUGGAGAAGGGGAUAGCCUUUGGAAACGAAGAAUAAUACCCUAUGAUAUGAUAAUAUCUCAUGAUAUUAUCAUCAAAGAUUUAUCGCUCUAAGAUGGACUUGCGUCUGAUUAGUUAGUUGGUGAGGUAACAGCUCACCAAGGCAGCGAUCAGUAGCCGGCUUGAGAGAGUGUACGGCCACAUUGGGACUGAGACACGGCCCAGACUCCUACGGGAGGCAGCAGUGGGGAAUUUUGCACAAUGGGGGAAACCCUGAUGCAGCGACGCCGCGUGAUUUAGAAGGCCUUCGGGUUGUAAAAAUCUCUUGUAUGGGAAGAAAAUGACAGUACCAUACGAAUAAGGACCGGCUAAUUACGUG